CCCGGUCCGGUCGAGCGUCACUAGCCAGAUAAAGCUAGCUGGCUGCUUAUAACCUUAGCUUUGGUCAACAGGGUUAAGUAGCUGGCUAGCUAUUUAUUUUCAUGAACUGAAGUUCAAUUUCAAUUGGCAAACAACAAGUGGCUACCUAGCUAAAACGUACUCACAAGGAUUCCUUGUUAAGGAUAAUGAAAAUGACUGCAGUUUCUACUGGUCGUUGUUUUCAGGCUGGUUGUAUUGGUGCUAGCUAGGUACCACGCUAAAGCUAGCUAGCUACCCCAGAAGAUGCAGUCAAACAAAUAAUGUCUUAUUACCAUCGUGGUAUUGUAAACAUAUCGUUUGUGGCCAUUGUGUGCUUGUUUGCAGACUUUUUUGUACAGCUUUGACAGUGCUACUGAUAGUGGUGGCGCUUGGCUUACACGUGCAAAUUCAUCACACACAACAUUCUAAUAGAAUUAUUCUAUAUGUGUAGGGAAGUAUUUAAACACUUGCUUAGGUCCAACCUCUGAUCUUUCCAAGGAUUUUUUAUAUGCCAAACUGGAACCCAAACAAUGCAAAAACUGGGCAUCGACGCGUCGCAACUCCAAUAACCCUUCCUUGAGCCUAUGCCUCUGACAGCACAAUGACUGAUGACUCCCCUUCAGGCUACAGGAAUGGAACCAGGGAACAGUGAGGGAAGGGUUGAGGUUCUGGGAUAAAUUUAUUGGACGGACAGGAAGGGUGCCCACGAUGUCCCGGAGCAGAUGGCGACCCUCUCCUUUGCUGACGUCCGUAGGGAAUUCAAGACCCUUCUUAGCAUUCCUUUAGAGUGCUCCGACAGAUAUGUAGCCUAUGGAACUCUUGAGUGUCACUGUGCAACAUUAACCACACACAUAUUCUUUGUUGUUCUUCGUUAGCUAGCUAGCUUCUUCCAAAAGAGUCCCUAGCAACAGAUGAUGAUGAUGAGUUACUGAUGGCCUGCUUGCUGGUUCCAGAGGCAAGUAGGUAUGGCUGCCGUCUUCCCUCCGUCCCAGGUACUCAUCCAGGCUCCUACAAGAAAGAAGAAAAAGACAAAAGAACAAAAAAUUAUAUUCAACACAUGCUGAAAAGAACAAAAAAUUAUAUUCAACACUUAUGCUGAGGUAAAGAAAGUUCAUAACAGAUAUUUAUUAUGCUAGGAUAAAGGAUUUCAUCUACAAUUUGACACACAUGCAUACAAAACAUUAUAGAAAUGAUUGCCUUGUUCAACUUCUUUGUUGGAAUUUGAUUCACAUACUGAGAUCGAAGAAGGUGACAUCUGCCAUAUACCUUGUGAAACACAAUGAGAUGGUCAAUGGCCUGAGCUGUGCUGAUCUUCUGUGUUUUCUUCCUACCAGCGGGCUUUGAUGAUAGGAUGUUCAAAGGAGUAGGAGGGAAGACAUGUCCCUGUCCCACUGUAAACAAGAAUUGCUGAUAUUAGUUUUGCCCAGCAUCAAAUGAACUCAUCACCAACAGUUCAAGUGCUUUAAGUUCCCUACAAGGACCCCAAGUGAAGACGUUGCAGGCAAAGAUGUCGAGAUUGUCUGCGCUUAUGGAUUGUAGACUCUUUGGGAUAGUUAUGACAACCCCUUCUACCUCAAAAGAUUGUCUUACUACUACAAUAAAUGUAUUUAUUGCAUUGAAUGUGUUUUAUGCACCUGUGUGGUGUGUCAUGUCAUGUGUGUACUCCACCAUUUUACAAAUGAAGUUCUUUGUGGAAAAAUACAGUCAUUUGAAUUAAAUAAUUUGAUUGAACAAAUUCACCUGGAUGGUCAUCGGAUGCUUGCCCCUCUUGCUGGUCCCUGGCAGACCUCAG
rnacentral:lncRNA from 1 species